CUACCUACGGGGCGCAGCAGUGAGGAAUAUUGGUCAAUGGGCGCGAGCCUGAACCAGCCAAGUAGCGUGAAGGAUGACUGCCCUACGGGUUGUAAACUUCUUUUAUAAAGGAAUCAAGUGAGGCACGUGUGCCUUUUUGUAUGUACUUUAUGAAUAAGGAUCGGCUAACUCCGUGCCAGCAGCCGCGGUAAUACGGAGGAUGCGAGCGUUAUCCGGAUUCAUUGGGUUUAAAGGGUGCGCAGGCGGGCCUUUAAGCCGGCGGUGGAA
rnacentral:rRNA from 1 species